GGUUAACGCUGGCGGCGUGCCUAACACAUGCAAGUCGAACGGUUCUAAGCGCGAGCUUAGGAUAGUGGCGAACGGGUGAGUAAAAGGUAGGAAUCUACCCCCUUGGACGGAGAUAGCUACUGGAAACGGUAGGUAAACUUCGAUAAGCCCGAGAGGGGAAAGUGGUGAGACAGCCGAGGGAUGAGCCUACUCUCCAUCAGGUAGUUGGUGAGAUAAAAGCUUACCAAGCCGAUGACGGAUAACCGGUGUGAGAGCAUGAACGGUCACAAGGGCACUGAGAGACGGGCCCUACUCCUACGGGAGGCAGCAGUGGGGAAUCUUGGGCAAUGGGCGAAAGCCUGACCCAGCGACGCCGCGUUGGGGAUGAAGCCCUUCGGGGCGUAAACCCAUGUUGUAGGGGACGAAGAAAGUGACGGUACCCUACGAAGAAAGCCCCGGCCAACUACGUG
rnacentral:rRNA from 1 species